rnacentral:rRNA from 1 species
CCUACGAGAGGCAGCAGUGAGGAAUAUUGGUCAAUGGGCGCGAGCCUGAACCAGCCAAGUAGCGUGAAGGAUGACUGCCCUACGGGUUGUAAACUUCUUUUAUAAAGGAAUAAAGUGAGGCACGUGUGCCUUUUUGUAUGUACUUUAUGAAUAAGGAUCGGCUAACUCCGUGCCAGCAGCCGCGGUAAUACGGAGGAUCCGAGGGUUAUCCGGAUUUAUUGGGUUUAAGGGGAGCGUAGAUGGGUUGUUAAAGCAAUUGUGAAAGUUUGCGGCUCAACCGUAAAAUUGCAAUUGAUACUGGCAGUCUUGAGUACAGUUGAGGUAGGCGGAAUUCGUGGUGUAGCGGUGAAAUGCUUAGAUAUCACGAAGAACUCCGAUUGCGAAGGCAGCUUACUAAACUGCCACUGACAUUGAUGCUCGAAAGUGUGGGUAUCAAACAGGAUUAGAUACCCCAGUAGUC